rnacentral:rRNA from 1 species
AGGACGAACGCUGGCGGCGUGCUUAACACAUGCAAGUCGAACGAGGCCCUACCUUCGGGUAGGUGACCUAGUGGCGAACGGGUGAGUAACACGUGGGCAACCUACCCUCAGCUCUGGGAUAACCCCGGGAAACCGGAGCUAAUACCGGAUAUGACCUUGAACGACAUCGUUCUUGGUGGAAAGUUUUUCGGCUGAGGAUGGGCCCGCGGCCUAUCAGCUUGUUGGCGGGGUAAUGGCCCACCAAGGCGACGACGGGUAGCCGGCCUGAGAGGGCGAUCGGCCACACUGGGACUGAGACACGGCCCAGACUCCUACGGGAGGCAGCAGUGGGGAAUAUUGCGCAAUGGGCGAAAGCCUGACGCAGCGACGCCGCGUGCGGGAUGAAGGCCUUCGGGUUGUAAACCGCUUUCAGCAGGGACGAAGCGAAAGUGACGGUACCUGCAGAAGAAGCACCGGCUAACUACGUGCCAGCAGCCGC